UACGGGGGGGGGCAAGCGUUGUUCGGAAUUACUGGGCGUAAAGAGCGUGUAGGCGGCUUUACAGGUCCGUUGUGAAAACUCGAGGCUCAACCUCGAGACGCCGGUGGAAACCGUAAAGCUAGAGUCCGGAAGAGGAGAGUGGAAUUCCUGGUGUAGCGGUGAAAUGCGCAGAUAUCAGGAAGAACACCCGUGGCGAAGGCGGCUCUCUGGGACGGUACUGACGCUGAGACGCGAAAAGCGUGGGGAGCGAACAGG
rnacentral:rRNA from 1 species